rnacentral:rRNA from 1 species
GGGAAGAGAGAAUGCCGGAAUGAGUAGCGAGAUAGAGGUGGGAAUCCUCUAGGCCGAAUAUCCAAGGUUUCCAGGGUAAAGCUGAUCUGCCCUGGGUGAGUCGGGACCUAAGGUGAGGGCGAGAGCCGUAGCCGAUGGACAACAGGUUGAUAUUCCUGUACUGCAGUAUAACAGAACUGUGGGGACACGUAAGGAGAGCGGGAGCCGGGAAUGGAAAGCCCGGUACAAGCGAGGUACCAGUAUGGUAGGAAAAACCGCCAUGCAAUGGGAAGACGUGAUGUGGAGUGAAAUAUAGUAACGAAGCCCGUGAGCCAUGCGUCAAGAAAAGCCGCUAUUGUUUAUAUUGUACCCGUACCGUAAACCGACACAGGUGGAUGAGGAGAGAAUCCUAAGGCCGGCGGAAGAAGUAUUGCCAAGGAACUCGGCAAAAUGGCCCCGUAACUUAGGGAGAAGGGGUGCCUGCGAGAGCAGGCCGCAGAGAAUAGGCUCAAGCAACUGUUUAGCAAAAACACAGGUCUAUGCGAAACCGAAAGGUGAGGUAUAUGGGCUGACGCCUGCCCGGUGCUGGAAGGUUAAGAGGAGAGGUUAGACGCAAGUCGAAGCUUUGAAUUUAAGCCCCAGUAAACGGCGGCCGUAACAAUAACGGUCCUAAGGUAGCGAAAUUCCUUGUCGGGUAAGUUCCGACCCGCACGAAAGGCGUAAUGAUUUGAGCGCUGUCUCGGCAAUACAUCCGGUGAAAUUGAAGUGCCAGUGAAGAUACUGGCUACCCGCGCCAGGACGGAAAGACCCCAUGGAGCUUUACUCCAGUUUGGCACUGGGGUCCGGUGUUGCAUGUACAGGAUAGGUGGGAGGCUGAGAGAUAGUGACGUCAGUUGCUAUGGAGCCGCUGUUGGGAUACCACCCUUGUGAUAUUGGGCUUCUAACCAGCCGCCGUAAUCCGGCGGUGGGACAAUGCCAGGCGGGGAGUUUGACUGGGGCGGUCGCCUCCGAAAGGGUAUCGGAGGCACCCAAAGGUUCCCUCAGAAUGGACGGAAACCAUUCGAAGAGUGCAAAGGCAGAAGGGAGCUUGACUGCGACACCGACGGGUGGAGCAGGUACGAAAGUAGGGCUUAGUGAUCCGGUGGUAUUAAGUGGGAAUGCCAUCGCUCAACGGAUAAAAGCUACCCUGGGAUAACAGGCUUAUCACUCCCAAGAGUUCACAUCGACGGAGUGGUUUGGCACCUCGAUGUCGGCUCAUCGCAUCCUGGGGCUGUAGUAGGUCCCAAGGGUUGGGCUGUUCGCCCAUUAAAGCGGUACGCGAGCUGGGUUCAGAACGUCGUGAGACAGUUCGGUCCCUAUCCGGCGUGGGCGUAGGAUAUCUGAGAGGAGCUGUCCUUAGUACGAGAGGACCGGGAUGGACGGACCGCUGGUGGACCGGUUGGCUUGCCAAAGCCAUGGCCGGGUAGCCAAGUCCGGAAGGGAUAAACGCUGAAGGCAUCUAAGCGUGAAGCCCCCCUCAAGAUGAGAUAUCCCAUUCUUUAAGAAGUAAACCCCCUUGAAGACGACGAGGUAGAUAGGGCAGAGGUGGAAGUGUGGUAGCACAUGGAGCUGACUGUUACUAAUCGGGUGAGGGCUUGUCC